rnacentral:rRNA from 1 species
GAUGAAGUCUGGGUAACACCACCUGGAGGUCCGAAUGGUUAUACGUUGAAAAGUGUUCCAAUGAGAUGAGGGUAGGGUGAAAGGCUAAUCAAACUUGGAGAUAGCUCGUACUCCCCGAAAUGCAUUUAGGUGCAGCCUGUGUGAAGUAUAAUAUGAGGUAGAGCGACUGAUUGGAUGCGAGGGCUUCACCGCCUAUCAAGUCCAGACAAACUCCGAAUGCGUAUUAUAUGAUUCCACGGAGUGAGGGCAUGGGUGCUAAGGUCCAUGUCCGAGAGGAGAAGAAUCCAGACCACCUGCUAAGGUCCCGAAAUAAUGCUUAAGUUGAGAAAACGAAGUCAGAUUGCAAAGACAGCUAGGACGUUGGCUUGGAAGCAGCCAUUCAUUUAAAGAGUGCGUAACAGCUCACUAGUCGAGGAGUCGACGCGGCCG